CGGAACGUGCCCAGUCGUGGGGGAUAACGCAGCGAAAGCUGUGCUAAUACCGCAUACGAUCUCUGGAUGAAAGCGGGGGACUCAGCAAUGGGCCUCGCGCGAUUGGAGCGGCCGAUAUCAGAUUAGCUAGUUGGUGGGGUAAAAGCUCACCAAGGCGACGAUCUGUAGCUGGUCUGAGAGGACGACCAGCCACACUGGAACUGAGACACGAUCCAAACUCCUACGGGAGGCAGCAGUGGGGAAUUUUGGACAAUGGGCGCAAGCCUGAUCCAGCAAUGCCGCGUGCAGGAUGAAGGCCUUCGGGUUGUAAACUGCUUUUGUACGGAACGAAAAGGUUCUCUUUAAUAAAGAGAGCUCAUGACGGUACCGUAAGAAUAAGCACCGGCUAACUACGUGCCAGCAGCCGCGGUAAUACGUAGGGUGCGAGCGUUAAUCGGAAUUACUGGGCGUAAAGCGUGCGCA
rnacentral:rRNA from 1 species